GCGAACGUGGCGGAAUUGGUAGACGCGUCAGCUUCAGGAGCUGGUGGCAGCAAUGCCGUGAGGGUUCGAGUCCCUCCGUUCGCACCA
rnacentral:tRNA from 1 species